GCGCCGGUGCCGGAGCGGUCGAACGGCACGGUCUCCAAAACCGUUGGACGUAGGUUCGAAUCCUACCCGGCGCGC
rnacentral:tRNA from 1 species